CAAUAGCGUCUAUUAAAGUUGUUGCAGUUAAAAAGCUCGUAGUUGGAUUUCGGGGCAGCCUGGCUGGUCCGCCGCAAGGCGAGUACUGGUCAGCCGCCCUUCCUCUCGAAAGCCCCGACUGCUCUUUAUUGCAGUGGUCGGGUAGUUCGGGACGUUUACUUUGAAAAAAUUAGAGUGUUCAAGGCAGGCCUACGCCUGAAUACAUUAGCAUGGAAUAAUGGAAGAGGACCUCGGUCCUAUUUUGUUGGUUUCCAGGACCGAAGUAAUGAUUAAGAGGGACAGUUGGGGGCAUUCGUAUUUAAUUGUCAGAGGUGAAAUUCUCGGAUUUAUGAAAGACGAACAACUGCGAAAGCAUUUGCCAAGGAUGUUUUCAUUAA
rnacentral:rRNA from 1 species